GAAAGGCCCACAUCAUAAUAAUGACAACAAUAACUGCAUCUGUGACAGCUGUGCCUUUGGGGGUGCGUGACUGCUCUCUUGGACUUAACCUCAUGGAGCAAACUGCCAUUAAAGGGUCAGUGACACUAUCUAGUAGAAUGGGACAAGAUCUUAUAACUGCCUCUCAGGUCUGAAUUCAGACCACAGCCUCGAGGGCACACCGAGGGAGAGAAAAUGGCAGGCUACUGACAAAGCCAGGCAAUGCAGAGAGAGACAUAUCAGAAGCAGGAUCUCCCUCUGUGAGGCGUUCAGGAAAGACGUGUCAGCCCAUCACUUAAGACUCGAAGAGGAAGAUGCACACGUAGGAGGAAGAGGAGGAGGAGCGAGUAGUUGGAAUCAGAACUGGUAUUUGAACACUUUGUUCCCGGUUCGUGGUGUUGUUAAGCGGAGCUGAAGGUGUGAUCUCUUGGCUUCUUGCUCCGGGUGCUUCCUUCCAUUCCUCCAAUGUCGUCAUGGACUUCCUUUGGAACUCUAAGUCAAAACUGGCUUUCCCUCCUAUAAGAUGCCUUCAUCGUGGCGUUUUACCACAGCCAAAGAAGAGGAACUAAUAAAUGGAGAAAAAAAGAAAUGGUUUUAACAGUGGCUUUUUCUUUUCAGCACAGGAAGUAAUAUUUCAAUGGGAUUGUUAUUACGGCUGCCAUCUUAGAGUACAGAAGAGCAGCUGAGCCACAGAAGCAGUGAUCACUUGCCAACUUUCCUCUUGCAGAGCCAGCCGAGGUCUUCCUGAGAUUUAUAGUCGCCCCGUCUGAGACCCUGGCUUGGCAUCUACCUUUGCUCUCACAUAAAAGGAGCCUAAUUUCUGCUUUUAAGAAAUGUGUUGCUCGAGAGAUUUUUGAUUUGGGUUCUUUUAAGAAUAAUGCAAUAAAGUAUAAUAAAAGUUUAAA